UGCAGUGAUGAUGGGUUUAUGUAAUCUCGUUAAUCUGAAAUAUUUAUUGAGGAUAAAUACUUCCCCAACCAUUCAUUCAAAUCCUGAGC